UACGUAGGGCGCAAGCGUUAUCCGGAAUUAUUGGGCGUAAAGAGCUCGUAGGCGGUUUGUCGCGUCUGCCGUGAAAGUCCGGGGCUCAACUCCGGAUCUGCGGUGGGUACGGGCAGACUAGAGUGAUGUAGGGGAGACUGGAAUUCCUGGUGUAGCGGUGAAAUGCGCAGAUAUCAGGAGGAACACCGAUGGCGAAGGCGGGUCUCUGGGCCGAAACUGACGCUGAGGAGCGAAAGCGUGGGGAGCAAACAGG
rnacentral:rRNA from 1 species